UACGAAGGGAGCUAGCGUUGUUCGGAAUCACUGGGCGUAAAGCGCACGUAGGCGGAUGUGUCAGUCAGGGGUGAAAUCCCGGAGCUCAACUUCGGAACUGCCUUUGAUACUGCACGUCUUGAGUCCGGUAGAGGUGGGUGGAAUUCCUAGUGUAGAGGUGAAAUUCGUAGAUAUUAGGAAGAACACCGGUGGCGAAGGCGGCCCACUGGAUCGGUACUGACGCUGAGGUGCGAAAGCGUGGGGAGCAAACAGG
rnacentral:rRNA from 1 species